AGCCCAGAUAGCUCAGUCGGUAAAGCGCAAGGCUUUUAACCUUGUGGUCGGGGGUUCGAGCCCCCCUUCUA
rnacentral:tRNA from 1 species